UACGUAGGGGGCAAGCGUUGUCCGGAUUUAUUGGGCGUAAAGAGCGUGUAGGCGGCCUGACAGGUCUGCUGUGAAAACUCGAGGCUCAACCUCGAGAUGUCGGCGGAAACCGUCUGGCUAGAGUCCGGAAGAGGAGAGUGGAAUUCCUGGUGUAGCGGUGAAAUGCGCAGAUAUCAGGAAGAACACCUAUGGCGAAGGCAGCUCUCUGGGACGGUACUGACGCUGAGACGCGAUAGCGUGGGUAGCAAACAGG
rnacentral:rRNA from 1 species